rnacentral:lncRNA from 1 species
CUGCCAAACGGUGCUCAUCAUACCUCCUUGGUGGCUCAGCGUUUGGAUCUUGAUAGCACAGAUGCCCUUUAUCAUCCUGACCAUGGGUGUCUGCUCACCCCGUGCCAGAGUGAGGGAGGAAGAAGGGCACAGAGGUGCACAUCAACUGCUUACACAUUAUGGAUAUCUGCCUUCUUGCUGGUGAUACUAAUCACACUGACAGGGCCCAGAGUAGGGGGCAUUGGAUACUGCCUUGUGCCUGCAGCUGGAACCCAACUGAGCACACCCACAGCUGUGAAGAAAUUAUAGAGUCUACCUAACUGACUGAUGCCACAGACUCUGCUGUCUUACUCCCAUAGUAUACACACCAUCUGGAUUUUAUUUGUGCCAUGCGGGCUCAUGCUAAUCAGAACAGGAAAAGGAAUACCUAUUGAAGGAGAUAAUUCUGGAAGUUUUGUGCAACAAAAAUUAAUCCAUAGAAUGAAUAGGAAGAAAAGAACAUUAUUAAAUCAAUGUGAUACAGAGUUUACAUUUUUUUUCCUUAUCUGUUUAAUAAAUAACUGAUUUCAGAGCUCAAGUUUUGCAUCUUGUUGAUAGGACCUGUGCUGUCCCUCUGCAAUCCUUAAAGAAAAUGAUGCUAGGCAUCCAAGAAGGAAAGGAGAAAUGCCAAUAAACAGUUUGAGAUACUUACA